rnacentral:rRNA from 1 species
UAAGAGGUCCCGCCUGCCCUGUGACUAUAUGUUUAACGGCCGCGGUAUUUUGACCGUGCAAAGGUAGCGCAAUCACUUGUCUUUUAAAUGAAGACCCGUAUGAAAGGCAUAACGAGGGCUUAACUGUCUCCUUUUUCUAGUCAAUGAAAUUGAUCUCCCCGUGCAGAAGCGGGGAUAACCCCAUAAGACGAGAAGACCCUGUGGAGCUUUAGACAACCGGGCAGACCAUGUUAACAUACUCUAACUAAAGAACAGAACUAAUUGGCUCCUGCCCCCGUCUUCGGUUGGGGCGACCACGGGGAAACGAAAAACCCCCAUGUGGAAUGAGAAUACUUCUCUCACAACCAAGAGUAACAACUCUAAGUAACAGAAUUUCUGACCAUUAAGAUCCGGCGAUAGCCGAUCAACGAAACGAGUUACCCCAGGGAUAACAGCGCAAUCCUCUUUUAGAGCCCAUAUCGACAAGAGGGUUUACGACCUCGAUGUUGGAUCAGGACAUCCUAAUGGUGCAGCCGCUAUUAAGGGUUCGUUUGUUCAACGAUUAA